GAUGAACGCUGGCGGCGUGCCUAAUACAUGCAAGUCGAGCGAACGGACGAGAAGCUUGCUUCUCUGAUGUUAGCGGCGGACGGGUGAGUAACACGUGGAUAACCUACCUAUAAGACUGGGAUAACUUCGGGAAACCGGAGCUAAUACCGGAUAAUAUUUUGAACCGCAUGGUUCAAAAGUGAAAGACGGUCUUGCUGUCACUUAUAGAUGGAUCCGCGCUGCAUUAGCUAGUUGGUAAGGUAACGGCUUACCAAGGCAACGAUGCAUAGCCGACCUGAGAGGGUGAUCGGCCACACUGGAACUGAGACACGGUCCAGACUCCUACGGGAGGCAGCAGUAGGGAAUCUUCCCCAAUGGGCGAAAGCCUGACGGAGCAACGCCGCGUGAGUGAUGAAGGUCUUCGGAUCGUAAAACUCUGUUAUUAGGGAAGAACAUAUGUGUAAGUAACUGUGCACAUCUUGACGGUACCUAAUCAGAAAGCCACGGCUAACUACGUGCCAGCAGCCGCGGUAGUACGUAGGUGGCAAGCGUUAUCCGGAAUUAUUGGGCGUAAAGCGCGCGUAGGCGGCUUUUUAAGUCUGAUGUGAAAGCCCGCGGCUCAACCGUGGAGGGUCAUUGGAAACUGGAAAACUUGAGUGCAGAAGAGGAAAGUGGAAUUCCAUGUGUAGCGGUGAAAUGCGCAGAGAUAUGGAGGAACACCAGUGGCGAAGGCGACUUUCUGGUCUGUAACUGACGCUGAUGUGCGAAAGCGUGGGGAUCAAACAGGAUUAGAUACCCUGGUAGUCCACGCCGUAAACGAUGAGUGCUAAGUGUUAGGGGGUUUCCGCCCCUUAGUGCUGCAGCUAACGCAUUAAGCACUCCGCCUGGGGAGUACGACCGCAAGGUUGAAACUCAAAGGAAUUGACGGGGACCCGCACAAGCGGUGGAGCAUGUGGUUUAAUUCGAAGCAACGCGAAGAACCUUACCAAAUCUUGACAUCCUUUGACAACUCUAGAGAUAGAGCCUUCCCCUUCGGGGGACAAAGUGACAGGUGGCGCAUGGUUGUCGUCAGCUCGUGUCGUGAGAUGUUGGGUUAAGUCCCGCAACGAGCGCAACCCUUAAGCUUAGUUGCCAUCAUUAAGUUGGGCACUCUAAGUUGACUGCCGGUGACAAACCGGAGGAAGGUGGGGAUGACGUCAAAUCAUCAUGCCCCUUAUGAUUUGGGCUACACACGUGCUACAAUGGACAAUACAAAGGGCAGCGAAACCGCGAGGUCAAGCAAAUCCCAUAAAGUUGUUCUCAGUUCGGAUUGUAGUCUGCAACUCGACUACAUGAAGCUGGAAUCGCUAGUAAUCGUAGAUCAGCAUGCUACGGUGAAUACGUUCCCGGGUCU
rnacentral:rRNA from 1 species